rnacentral:rRNA from 1 species
CCUACGGGUGGCAGCAGUGAGGAAUAUUGGUCAAUGGCCGGAAGGCUGAACCAGCCAUGCCGCGUGAAGGUCAGUACCCUAUGGGCGUUAAACUUCUUUUGUGCGGGAGCAAUAAUGGUCACGUGUGGCCAGACGAGAGUACCGUACGAAUAAGCAUCGGCUAACUCCGUGCCAGCAGCCGCGGUAAUACGGGGGAUGCAAGCGUUAUCCGGGUUUAUUGGGUUUAAAGGGUGCGUAGGCUGUGAGGUAAGGCAGCGGGGAAAUGCACCCGCUCAACGGGGUGAAGUGCCAUUGAUACUGUCUUGCUGGAAUGCGGAUGCCGUUGGAGGAAUGUGUGGUGUAGCGGUGAAAUGCAUAGAUAUCACACAGAACACCGAUUGCGAAGGCAUCUCACGAAUCCGCGAUUGACGCUGAUGCACGAAAGCGUGGGUAUCAAACAGGAUUAGAUACCCCUGUAGUC